UACAGAGGUCUCAAGCGUUGUUCGGAUUCAUUGGGCGUAAAGGGUGCGUAGGUGGCGCCGUAAGUCGGGUGUGAAAUUUCGGAGCUUAACUCCGAAACUGCAUUCGAUACUGCGGUGCUUGAGGACUGGAGAGGAGACUGGAAUUCAUGGUGUAGCAGUGAAAUGCGUAGAGAUCAUGAGGAACACCAGCGGCGAAGGCGGCGCUCUGGGCCGGUACUGACACUGAGGAGCGAAAGCGUGGGUAGCAAACAGG
rnacentral:rRNA from 1 species